GCGUAGCGCUGACCGCAGACUGCAGCCACACCGGAACACUGACCGACAAUAUCCCAUCAAUAAUUACUUAUCAGUUAGUUAAUUAAUGUUACGACAGAAACAUACAACAAUUUUAAAAGGAGGACACAGCUAGGCUGGUUUAUUUAUAAAACACCUUACAUGGACACAGGUAAUUCAAAGCCCAUUAUAAGAACAUGACGUCAAUUUAAAAACAAGAGGAUGUGAAACUGCAAGUUAAACAGCAAAAGUAAUGAACAGAUUGUUCAGCGCAAACACGAGGCACCUGGGAUCAGAUGCCGAAGGGGGGAGGCGGGGGAUAUGUUCACAGAGAGUAAAAAAACACCAAUUUAAUAAAUAAAACCCAGCUGCAGCUGGUAAGCCUGGCUUAAUGGGUUCCGGGCCCGACCUAGCGGGUUGUGGACUCGCCACACCUAUCCGAUCACGCUUACGUUCACGGUGACCGUCCGCCACCUCUGUCAUUGAGCGGGCAUCAGUGGCAUUUUUAUGGGUAACAAAGGGGCCCGGCGACUCUUGAAGCCAGCCGGGGGGGGGGGGUCAGGUGACGGCGCUUUGGAGAUCAGACACCCAGCAGACAGCUAUAAUGUCAGCAGGGACAUUCAUUGCACAAGCUUUCAUUUCCAGAAUAAAAAGGCCAGCCAGUGACAUCAGAUACUGGACGGAAAGGUUAGUGAGGUGCCCCCCUCCCCCAGCUCAGAAUUUAUUAAUCCUGGGGUUGUCCCUGAAAGCCCACCGCCCUUAAGCUAAAGGAGGAACACAAUGAAGACAGCCCACAGGCACGAAAUUUCACAAUGCUGAGCUCUGAGUCUGCCUUCCUUUUUUGAUGGCGCAAACAUGUGGAGACCACUCGCAAAAUGCUGCCAACAGACUGUAAAGUGUGGUAUAAGAAUAGCCUUAGCACCUCUGUUAGUCUAUAUCGAGGGCUGUAGGAUUGUCACCGGCCAUUUUGUGAUUCCAGCGGCAGAGAAAAUCGCAUGAAAUGAAAAACGAGGGAUCUGAGGAACUGCUCUGUCUCCACUGCGACGCCGUGAUAAUCGAAUGGGGCUGAUUGGUUAUGGGUUAGGUGUUAAUGGAAAGCCCCAGACGAUUGUUGUAUGGAAGGAAAUUCUGCAGCCACUUCCUAAGGAUGAAUUCAUGGAAGUACGGGAGCAGCUUCUGAAGGCGCUUCAGACAGCAGAACCUACAGCCUACCACAGCUACCAAAAAAAAUUCACAUCAAGACUAUGAGAUGAUUAUUAUACUAAAUCAAACUGUAAAAUCUGAGGACAUUUAAUACAACAUUAAAUGCAAGAACACACAAGUAUUUCCAUAUUUAACACAAGCUUCAUUAACAUGAGAAUGUAAUCUGAUAAAGUGUGAUGCUUCACCAGAGCAAAGAAUCACUUUUCAUAGGUUUCCUUUGGAUAAAUCCUCCUACCAGAAGAUUGACUGACUCAAUGACAUCCAUAAAGACCUCAUUCUUCCGAUACUUGAUGCCCUCUGACCUCCAAGAGACCGCGUUGGUAACGGUUGCUGGGGGCCGGGGGGCACCAACCUCCAGUUUGUGUCCUUUCUGCGUGAUGUAUCUGCAAAGACAUAGAUGACGAAUUGUUGCAAAAUUAAAAGACAUAGAGUAAAAUCGA